GAUGAACGCUAGCGGCAGGCCUAAUACAUGCAAGUCGAACGAUAGUGAGAAGCUUGCUUCUCACGAAAGUGGCGCACGGGUGCGUAACGCGUAUGCAACCUACCUUAAUCAGGGGGAUAGCCCGAAGAAAUUCGGAUUAACACCGCAUAAAAUCACAGUAUAGCAUUAUACAAUGAUCAAAUAUUUAUAGGACUAACAUGGGCAUGCGUGACAUUAGUUAGUUGGCGGGGUAACGGCCCACCAAGACCACGAUGUCUAGGGGAUCUGAGAGGAUGACCCCCCACACUGGUACUGAGACACGGACCAGACUCCUACGUGAGGCAGCAGUAAGGAAUAUUGGUCAAUGGAGGCAACUCUGAACCAGCCAUGCCGCGUGCAGGAAGACAGCCCUCUGGGUCGUAAACUGCUUUUAUUCGGGAAUAAACCUAUCUACGUGUAGAUAGCUGAAUGUACCGAAGGAAUAAGGAUCGGCUAACUCCGUGCCAGCCGCCGCUGUAA
rnacentral:rRNA from 1 species